GAGGCCGGGAGUUGUAGGCCAGAGAGGCAGGUCAUCGGCCCUUGGGCCCUUGGCGCUGAGGUGGUUGCCACCUGACCAGCUGAGGAGAUCGUCAGAAAGGCUGGGACACCAAAGGAUGACGCACAAAUGGAGGAAUUUUCAGGCACGGUCAAAGCUAAUGGGAGGGAAAAUAUUGAAGUGUAAUAUUCCAGAGUUCUCUCUUGUCUGCUCUGACUCCUGCCAGCUGCCCUGCACCUAGAGGGACAGGAGGCUCUUCUCCUGGGCAUUGCAUGGCCGGGAGCCAAAUGAGCUGGCCCCAGAACCUGGAACCCUCUCUCGGGGUCUGGAUUGGGACCCCUUUCCAGUACCAUUUUUCUGGUGAACCACGAAGGGACGAUACCAGAGAAACCCCCCAACCCAAAGGAAAUAGACUACAGCCCCAGUUGGCUGACUUUGGCUAUAGAAAAAAGAAAGGAAAGAAAAGAGACAGUUUUUUUGGAAAGCUAAGUCUUCCCUUUAUCAGUCAAGAAACCCCCCCUUCUUGAGCUAUUUACAGCUUUUAACAAUUGAGUAAAGUAUGCUCCUGACACAAUUGGAGAAACUGGUUAUUUAACAAGGGUUUGACUGGAAUGGCAUGCUUUCAAAUAUAAACAGACUUCUUUAAGGAAUUAAAGUUGACUAAUAGAGCCAAUAAAAGCCUCUUGGAAAAA
rnacentral:sRNA from 1 species